CUUGAAGACUGAUAUUUUGCCUCAGAUUGUGAAGUCCAUGCUUCAGAGUUGUUUCCCACAACCAACAAAAUCCCCCUCUCAGCUUGAAAUCACAGCCUGAGCCAGGCUUCUUCU
rnacentral:miRNA from 1 species